ACGCAAUUCACACCAGCAGAGAUCCAGCUGGGUGUAAUUGUCCCGUGUGCUUUAUAGGCAGGCUGCUCUGCCCUCCCCAGUGGCUGGGGGAGCAGGGAGGUGGUUGAAGAAGUGCAGUCAUCUCUUGUCCCUUGCAAAGAAGAGCUGCAGCUGAUCUCUUUGUUUCCAGCUGAAAUGGAGGUGGAUUUUACAAGUUCCCUUUUCUAAACACAUGGUGACCAGAGCAAGGAGCCUGAAGGAAUGGACUUGAUAUAGUCAGGGAGAGGUGUGGGAAGGAAGAGCUGAGGAUGGACUGACAGCUGCUGCUCAGGUCCUGCUGUGCUUCCUGCUGGUGUCAAAAGCAAUUGAAAAACUGGCACAAAAGAUCACAGGAAAGAGGAGAUUUCUGAUGCUGAGGUAUGAAGUUGGUAUUGUCCUGGCUGCCAGCCUCAGGACUCUCCAUGUCAGUGCAUCAGUGUGCUCACAUCCCAAUGGCGCCAGCCACUAAUUCAAGGGACAGGGAGAGAUCCAAAUCUUACCAGAUGCUCAAUAAAUCAGAGCGGGUCUUAUCACAGCUGAUUUCUGAGUUAUACUGUAGAACUCAAAUUCCUCCCGUGCCUCCCAGAUGCUGCAGAUUGUUCAGAGAUGGAAUUGGAGAAUAAUUGAAGUUGGAAAAGACUGCCAAGAUCACCAAGUCCAACCACCAACCCAUCACCUCCGUGCUCCCCAAACCAUGUCCUUUGUUGCCACAUCUACCCUCUUCUUGAAAACUUCCAGGUAUAGUGACUCCAAAACCUCCCUGGGCAGCUCCAGUUGAUCUGGAAAGUCCAGCUGAAUGUUAUCCACCCUACUUCCCACUGUAGCCAACAAAAUUCUGCUGUGGGUCCAAAUGUUAAUAGCUCCAUUAUGAACAGUAGAAGAACCUGUUUGUGGCCAUUGGUGAGAGGCACUGAUCGCUUUCUGACCUUGCAGCAGUGGGAUUUGAAAAUGUAGAGCAAUGGGUGUAAAUCAAUCCAUGGGCUCUUGUCAAAUCAGCUGUAAUGCUCUAUGAUGAGCUGAGCUACCAAAGAAGGAAGGCAAGUCACAAUCAGUGCUCAGUCAAAAUGUCAAGAAAGGGUUCAUUUUUUGCAUAUAUUCCAUGAUGUAGAACACAGAACUCAUGCAAUUUGUAUAGAGUUUUAUAGUGUGUGUGUAUGGGUAUAUCUAUAUGCAUACGUAUGUACAUGUAUGUUUGUCAUUAAGAAUGAACAGAGAUGACUUGGAUGAUUCUUAAGGAGUAAAUACCUGCAACAACCUGUGCAAUCUGGACAGCCCCCCCAUGCUGGGGGGCAUUCAUCAGGAACACAGCUCUGCAGAAAGGAGGUGGAGGUUGUGGUGGAUGGUAAAUUAAACAGAAGCCAACUGUGUGCCUUUGUUGGUAAGACUAUAGCAUUAGGCAAAGCAGAUUGAGGGAGGUAGUCCUUCCCUUUUGCUCUGUGCUGGUGAGGUCACACCUGGAGCGCUGGGUCUGGUUCUGACCCCCACUCCAGUAUGGGAGACCUGGGCAUGCUGGAAAAUCCAACAUAGGGCCGUAAGCAGCUCUGCUACAAGGAGAGGCUGGGGCUACUCAGCUUGGAGCAGGGGAGAUCCUAUCUGUGUCCAUAAAUACCUGAAGGGAGAAGUAGAGAAGAUAGGUUCUUGUUAGUGGUGCCCAGUGCUGGGGCAAGAGGCAAUGGGUACAAAUAGAGCCUCGGGAGGUACGCUCUGACCAUCAGGAAGAACUUCUUUACUUUUAUUGAACAGCCACUGCAGAGGCUGCCCAGGGGCUAUGAAGUCUCCUCCUUGGUGAUCUCCAACAACCAGCUGGGUGUGGGCCUGAGCACCUUGCUCUUGAUGUCCCUGCUGGAGCAGGGCUUGGGCCAGAUGGACCCAAAGGUGCUGCCAACCUCAGCCAUUCUGUGGCUCUGAGAGCCUCUUCCCUGUUUCCCCUCUCUUUGAAACAGACAUCAAUCCAUUGGCAGUGUUAUUGCUAAAUAAAUGCUUCCA
ensembl:lncRNA